rnacentral:misc_RNA from 1 species
UCCGGUUUGUCACCGGCAGUCACCUUAGAGUGCCCAACUUAAUGCUGGCAACUAAGGUUAAGGGUUGCGCUCGUUGCGGGACUUAACCCAACAUCUCACGACACGAGCUGACGACAACCAUGCACCACCUGUCAUCGGUGUCUCAAAAGAGAACCUUCUAUCUCUAGAAGUAGCACCGUGAUGUCAAGUCCUGGUAAGGUUCUUCGCGUUGCUUCGAAUUAAACCACAUGCUCCACUGCUUGUGCGGGCCCCCGUCAAUUCCUUUGAGUUUCAGCCUUGCGGCCGUACUCCCCAGGCGGAGUGCUUAUUGCGUUGACUUCAGCACUAAAGGUAUCGAAACCUCUAACACCUAGCACUCAUCGUUUACGGCGUGGACUAC